rnacentral:tRNA from 1 species
AGCUAACGUAGCAAAAUCUGGUACUGCAAAAGAUCUAAGCCCUUUUCAUUGGGGUUCAAAUCCCCACGUUAGCU